rnacentral:siRNA from 1 species
AAUGCCGCUAUUCAGGAAUGCCGC